UAGGGAAUUUUCGGCAAUGGGGGAAACCCUGACCGAGCAACGCCGCGUGAGUGAUGACGGCCUUCGGGUUGUAAAGCUCUGUUGUAAGGGAAGAACGGUAGAUAGAGAAUAUCUAAGUGACGGUACCUUACCAGAAAGCCACGGCUAACUACGUGCCAGCAGCCGCGGUAAUACGUAGGUGGCGAGCGUUAUCCGGAAUUAUUGGGCGUAAAGGGUGCGUAGGCGGCCUGUUAAGUAAGUGGUUAAAUUGUUGGGCUCAACCCAAUCCAGCCACUUAAACUGGCAGGCGAGAGUAUUGGAGAGGCAAGUGGAAUUCCAUGUGUAGCGGUAAAAUGCGUAGAUAUAUGGAGGAACACCAGUGGCGAAGGCGGCUUGCUAGCCAAAGACUGACGCUCAUGCACGAAAGCGUGGGGAGCAAAUAGG
rnacentral:rRNA from 1 species